rnacentral:piRNA from 1 species
GCAAGCAAUGGUUUUAGUUCCUAAUGA